AGAGUUUGAUCCUGGCUCAGGACGAACGCUGGCGGCGUGCUUAACACAUGCAAGUUGAACGGUCCGGCAUGGAAGCUUGCUGAAGUGUCGGGUAGUAGCGGACGGGUGAGUAAUGCAUGAGAAGCUGCCAUUGGGAGGGGGACAACAGUUGGAAACGGCUGCUAAUACCCCAUAUGCCGAAAGGUGAAAGGGAGCGAUCCGCCCGAUGAGGUGCUCAUGUCCUAUCAGCUGGUUGGUGAGGUAACGGCUCACCAAGGCGACGACGGGUAGCCGGCCUGAGAGGGUGACCGGCCACACUGGAACUGAGAUACGGUCCAGACUCCUACGGGAGGCAGCAGUGGGGAAUAUUGGGCAAUGGGGGGAACCCUGACCCAGCGACGCCGCGUGAGGGAAGACGGCCUUCGGGUUGUAAACCUCUUUUGUACGGGAAGAAGGACGUGACGGUACCGUACGAAUAAGUCCCGGCUAACUACGUGCCAGCAGCCGCGGUAAUACGUAGGGGACGAGCGUUGUCCGGAAUUACUGGGCGUAAAGGGCGCGCAGGCGGUAUAUCAAGUCAGCUGUCAAAGACUGGGGCUCAACCCUGGUAUGCGGUUGAAACUGAUAUGCUGGAGUGCUGUAGAGGCAAGUGGAAUUCCCAGUGUAGCGGUGAAAUGCGUAGAUAUUGGGAAGAACACCGGUGGCGAAGGCGACUUGCUGGGCAGCAACUGACGCUGAGGCGCGAAAGCCAGGGGAGCAAACGGGAUUAGAUACCCCGGUAGUCCUGGCCGUAAACGAUGAAUGCUAGGUGUGUGUGUAGAGAUACAUGCGUGCCGGAGUUAACGCGAUAAGCAUA
rnacentral:rRNA from 1 species